rnacentral:rRNA from 1 species
GAUGAACGCUGGCGGCGUGCCUAAUACAUGCAAGUCGAGCGAACAGACGAGGAGCUUGCUCCUCUGACGUUAGCGGCGGACGGGUGAGUAACACGUGGAUAACCUAUCUAUAAGACUGGGAUAACUUCGGGAAACCGGAGCUAAUACCGGAUAAUAUAUUGAACCGCAUGGUUCAAUAGUGAAAGACGGUUUUGCUGUCACUUAUAGAUGGAUCCGCGCCGCAUUAGCUAGUUGGUAAGGUAACGGCUUACCAAGGCGACGAUGCGUAGCCGACCUGAGAGGGUGAUCGGCCACACUGGAACUGAGACACGGUCCAGACUCCUACGGGAGGCAGCAGUAGGGAAUCUUCCGCAAUGGGCGAAAGCUUGACGGAGCAACGCCGCGUGAGUGAUGAAGGUCUUCGGAUCGUAAGACUCUGUUAUUAGGGAAGAACAAAUGUGUAAGUAACUAUGCACGUCUUGACGGUACCUAAUCAGAAAGCCACGGCUAACUACGUG